GGUGUAGCUCAGCUGGCUAGAGCGUACGGUUCAUACCCGUGAGGUCGGGGGUUCGAUCCCCUCCGCC
rnacentral:tRNA from 1 species